GGCUAGUCUGAAGGUAGUGCGUUCUCUCAAUUGAUUGUUUACAGUCAGUUACAGAUCCAGCUCCCUUCUCACAGCUGCCCUUGACUGAGUGCAGU
ensembl:misc_RNA Y_RNA Y RNA